rnacentral:rRNA from 1 species
GAUGAACGCUGGCGGCGUGCCUAAUACAUGCAAGUCGAGCGAACAGAUGAGGAGCUUGCUCCUCUGACGUUAGCGGCGGACGGGUGAGUAACACGUGGAUAACCUACCUAUAAGACUGGGAUAACUUCGGGAAACCGGAGCUAAUACCGGAUAAUAUAUUGAACCGCAUGUUCAAUAGUGAAAGACGGUUUUGCUGUCACUUAUAGAUGGAUCCGCGCCGCAUUAGCUAGUUGGUAAGGUAACGGCUUACCAAGGCAAUGAUGCGUAGCCGACCUGAGAGGGUGAUCGGCCACACUGGAACUGAGACACGGUCCAGACUCCUACGGGAGGCAGCAGUAGGGAAUCUUCCGCAAUGGGCGAAAGCCUGACGGAGCAACGCCGCGUGAGUGAUGAAGGUCUUCGGAUCGUAAAACUCUGUUAUUAGGGAAGAACAAAUGUGUAAGUAACUAUGCACGUCUUGACGGUACCUAAUCAGAAAGCCACGGCUAACUACGUG